UUAGAAAAGUAUGUUACUGCCCUGAGCACCAGAACACCUGACACUUCACUGCCCACAGAGUUUAACUCAAGUCUGGAGUUUGUGACACAAGGAUAAGCUCUGACUGAAUCUCUACAGUGUACAGACAUACAUGCAUCUACUACUGGGUGGGGAAAGGCUUGGGAGCCUUGUGAGACUUUUCUUUAGAAGAGAGCACAAGGCCUUUAGGAAAACCUGUGAGAGCUGAAUAUCCCUGAGGUCCUUACGUGUGUAUCAAGUGUGGCUGAGAUUGGCCAGUUGGCUCAGACGCUGCUGGAGGACAAGGAGAGGAGGACACAGUGGUGAUUGCAUAAGCCUUAUUUUUAGCCUGGCUUCCUAUGGGAAGAAAAGCUGACUUGCUAUGACAAGCUUUCUUACAGCACAUAGGACAUUCCUGUUAGGGGCAUAUUAAGUCAGAUUUGACCUAUUUGUUUGCCCAUCAGUAUUUAAAAUGACAUAUGUGACACAAACCUGUUCUCACUGAUGAUAAUGAAAAUAAUCCUUUCUACUUCGGGGGAAAGAAGAUGGAAACUUUAAACACUGGGCUUUUACCAGUCUGCUUCCAGCCAGAAGAAAGGUUCCCACGUUAUAAACCUGCCUGCUCCAGCUGUCUGCAAUGGGCUUCCCUACUGAGCACUGCACUUAACCAAGCUCUGAUGCACAGCGUCACUUCUCACAGCAAGCGAUAAGCCAUGUUUUCCUCAAAUCAUUCCAGCUUGAUUUGGGAGGGAAAAAAAUAAAUCCGAAGAGACUUUUGACCUUACAAGAUGAAAACACUAUUUACAUGGAUGGAAAAAUGCAACUGUGCUGUUUCACCAGAACAGCAGCAGAUCCUGCUGGCAGAGGUGAAGCCCGAGGUGAAUUUUCAUAAGCUCCAUGGAAAUCUUCAGCUUGGCUCUUGGUGUUCGUCUUACCAAAGCUUGUGGCCGCUGCUCGAGUGCCCAGGCCGGGGCUCUCUGGGCUGUAGGAUGGCAGAGCAGCUGCCCCACGGUCCUUGGCUCC